rnacentral:rRNA from 1 species
CAGUAGCCGCGGGAAUACGUAGGCGGCAAGCGUUGUCCGGAAUUAUUGGGCGUAAAGGGAGCGCAGGUGGGACGGUAAGUCCGUCUUAAAAGGCAGGGGCUCAGCCCCUGUAAGGGAUGGAAACUAUCGAUCUUGAGUGCCGGAGAGGAAAGCGGAAUUCCCAGUGUAGCGGUGAAAUGCGUAGAUAUUGGGAAGAACACCAGUGGCGAAGGCGGCUUUCUGGACGGCAACUGACACUGAGGCUCGAAAGCCAGGGGAGCGAACGGGAUUAGAGACCCCCGUAGUCCCUGUCUCUUAUACA